rnacentral:rRNA from 1 species
GACAGAGGGUGCAAACGUUGUUCGGAAUUACUGGGCGUAAAGCGCGUGUAGGCGGCUAAGUAAGUCGGGCGUGAAAUCCCACGGCUCAACCGUGGAAGUGCACUCGAAACUGCAUAGCUAGAGUCCUGGAGAGGAAGGUGGAAUGCUUGGUGUAGAGGUGAAAUUCGUAGAUAUCAAGCGGAACACCGGUGGCGAAGGCGGCCUUCUGGACAGUGACUGACGCUGAGACGCGAAAGCCGUGGGGAGCAAACAGGG